rnacentral:rRNA from 1 species
CAGCGAACGGGUGAGUAACGCGUGGGGAAUCUGCCUUUGAGCGGGGGACAACAUUUGGAAACGAAUGCUAAUACCGCAUAAAAACUUUAAACACAAGUUUUAAGUUUGAAAGAUGCAAUUGCAUCACUCAAAGAUGAUCCCGCGUUGUAUUAGCUAGUUGGUGAGGUAAAGGCUCACCAAGGCGAUGAUACAUAGCCGACCUGAGAGGGUGAUCGGCCACAUUGGGACUGAGACACGGCCCAAACUCCUACGGGAGGCAGCAGUAGGGAAUCUUCGGCAAUGGACGAAAGUCUGACCGAGCAACGCCGCGUGAGUGAAGAAGGUUUUCGGAUCGUAAAACUCUGUUGGUAGAGAAGAACGUUGGUGAGAGUGGAAAGCUCAUCAAGUGACGGUAACUACCCAGAAAGGGACGGCUAACUACGUGCCAGCAGCCGCGGUAAUACGUAGGUCCCGAGCGUUGUCCGGAUUUAUUGGGCGUAAAGCGAGCGCAGGUGGUUUAUUAAGUCUGGUGUAAAAGGCAGUGGCUCAACCAUUGUAUGCAUUGGAAACUGGUAGACUUGAGUGCAGGAGAGGAGAGUGGAAUUCCAUGUGUAGCGGUGAAAUGCGUAGAUAUAUGGAGGAACACCGGUGGCGAAAGCGGCUCUCUGGCCUGUAACUGACACUGAGGCUCGAAAGCGUGGGGAGCAAAC